rnacentral:lncRNA from 1 species
AUCGUGAAGACCACAGUUUCCUGUCGCGUGGAUGUGUUUCCUCUCUGGCCAUUGCCAUCCGCCCAAAUCUACAGACAUCCCGCAUGUUCCCGGGCUCGUCUCCCCAAUACAGGGCACCAAGCAUCCUACCAAGGCGAAUCCAUUGACCAGGAUUUAAGUUGAGACUCCCCCAGGACCCCGGGUGCAGCAUCUGGGUCCCCCUGCCCCGCCCUGCCUUGCGCCGCAGCCGCUUCCGUUGUCCUGCCAGGCUGUAGACUGCGCAGCCCUCCUGGAGACAGAUGGAAGCUCCUUGGGUCGACAGAUUACAGCUUCUGGAACCCCCUACUCCCUUCAACUCCGAGAUGGACACCCACUGUCCAGGGAGAGGAUGCCUGGAAAUAACAGCUGGGAUCUACAGUGGCCAAAGAGUUGUCUCCGUCUUGCUACAUCGACAAACUGGUGCUCCUGAGUGAGGAUUGUGCCCUGGGAUGGGGGAUUCAGUUUCUUCAUUUAUAGUUGGAAGUGGGUGAAGCCACUUCGGAAGCGUUUUCCUCUCCACUCUGACAACAGGCAAGAGUGAGGGUCCAACAAUACAGAGGAAGUAACGUGUCGCUGCUACUCUUCCAUGCCCAGUGCCAGGAGCGACGGUACACUCCAGAGUGCUGUGCCCUGAUGGGCCUUUGAGUGGCCAGUGCAGUGGAUCAUCAGCCCUGUCUCCCAAGAGCUCCAGUCCCUUCUCCGGAGAGGAAGUGGGUCCACUGGCAGCUCAGGAGGCCAUAGCAGAUUGUGGGGCUCUGUGCAGUUGAUGUUAGUUAACCACUGGAUCCACGUGUUCACCGUGGCUUGCGCCCCUGCAUCCGAAAGUGAUCUUGGCUGCCGUGUCCUGGUCAUUGGUAGUGCAGGGAAAGGAUGCGGAAAGACGGGCUCCGAGCUCGGGGCGUCUGGCCUGGAGCUUUCCUACACUUGUGUCUUGCUCUGCAGCCUUACGGAAGUGUGGGUGGCGCUUUCUGGAAGCUGCACAAGAUUGUCACGUGUGCUCAACAGUCCUCCUCGGCUUUCCAGAAGAGGCUGGAACAGGGCCCUUGAAGAUGUUUGUGGACAUCAGAGGGCCAAAGACGACACAAAGUGAAACUGGAGACACCGCCCCCCCUUGGCAUCAUGAAACUGCCGAUGUUACUGGCUCAUGCAUGGGAGACACCAGCAUACAAAGUCUUGACACCAACACCUCAGAGGGCUGUGUUCUGUCCCCGUGACCAUCAUCUAGUGCCUGGAAAGACUAGUGACAAGAACUUGUUGCCAACUUCCUAUUACCUCCCUAACAGUUGUGCAAUAAACCCCAUAGGUUAAUUCAGUCUGCCUUUUAAA